GUUGAGGCGGACGGGUGAGUAACGCGUAGUGGAUCUGUCUAUGGGUCUGGGACAACUCGGGGAAACUCGAGCUAAUACCUGGAUAAGUUCUAAGGAAGAAAGUGGGGUAGCAAUAUCUCAUGCCGAUAGGUGAACCUGCGUUGGAUUAGCUAGUUGGUGGGGUAAAGGCCUACCAAGGCGACGAUCCAUAGCUGUUCUGAGAGGAAGAUCAGCACACUGGGACUGAGACACGGCCAGACUCCUACGGGAGGCAGCAGUGGGGAAUAUUGGACAAUGGGCGCAAGCCUGAUCCAGCAAUACCGCGUGUGUGAAGAAGGCCUGAGGGUUGUAAAGCACUUUCGACGAGGAGGAAGGUUAUAGGUGCUAAUACCAAUAUAAUUUGACGUUACUCGUAAAAAGCACGGCUAACUCUGUGCCAGCAGCCGCGGUAAUUACAGAGGGUGCAAGCGUUAAUCCGGACAUUUACUGGGCCGUAAACGAGUGCGUAGGCGGGAUUCACUCAAAGUCCAUCAUUGUGGAAAGCCCCGGGGCUUAAACCCUUGGGGAAAUUUGCUUCCUCGGAUCACUGGGUUAACUCUCAAAACGAAUGGGGGCACAGCA
rnacentral:rRNA from 1 species